rnacentral:tRNA from 1 species
UGCUCCGUCAGCUAGUGGUAGGCUGCCACGCUCUGAACGUGGAAACCGUGGUUCGAGUCCAUGCGGAGCAACCA